GACGAACCGUGCUAACGUUGUUCGGAUUCAUUGGGCGUAAAGGGUGCGUAGGCGGCGCGGUAAGUCGGGUGUGAAAUCUCGGAGCUUAACUCCGAAACUGCAUUCGAUACUGCCGUGCUUGAGGACUGGAGAGGAGACUGGAAUUUACGGUGUAGCGGUGAAAUGCGUAGAUAUCGUAAGGAAGACCAGUGGCGAAGGCGGGUCUCUGGACAGUUCCUGACGCUGAGGCACGAAGGCCAGGGGAGCAAACGGG
rnacentral:rRNA from 1 species